GUAGCAACAGAGAAUGCGAAUAGUAUGAGUUGAGCGAGUGAAAAUUUGAAUGAAUAAACCAUGUAAGCAUAGUACUUAGUACAUAGUCAAUAUAAGUUUUGACAAAUUAAAUAUUUUUUAAUGUUUAGAGGCAGGGAAGGCUCACGGCCCGCCCUUAAACUCAAAAGUUUAAGGGCGUUUAAGUUUAUUCAACUAGGGAUAGCUACUUUAUUGGGAGGAUCAAAAAAGUAUGAGUGGUUGUAACCCUACUGAAAUUUACUAAUAUUUGUCAUAUAAAUGUUUACUUCUAUUAAUAUUAUUAUUGACUUUUUAGAUAUACAUUUUUUCUUAUCGCCAAGAGGACAUGAUGUUGCUGUGUACGAUGGCUAUAAAUUCGGUUUGGACAAAAGAGGGACGACAGGAACAAAGAAGAGAUGGGUUUGCACAAGUCACAGUCGUAAGGGGUGUAAGGCCUUUUUUAUCACAGUUUGCGAUAAAUUUGCUAAAUUUGGGAAUGCCCACAAUCAUUAGAAUUUCAAAAGACCAGAAAAAAGAUAUACAUUAUUUCUUAUCGCCAAGAGGACAUGAUGUUGCUGUGUACGAUGGCUAUAAAUUCGGUUUGGUCAAAAGAGGGACGUCUGGAACAAAGAAGAGAUGGGUUUGCACAAGUCACAGUCGUAAGGGAUGUAAGGCCUUUUUUAUCACAAUUUGCGAUCAAUUUGCUAAAUUUGGGAAUGCCCACAAUCAUUAGAAUUUCAAAAGACCAGAAAAAAGGUAACAAUACUACUUUAAAUUAGAUUUGAAAUAUAAUAAAAUAUUCCCAGGUUUUGGCAUAUCUCAUUCAUUCAAUUUUAAAAGAAGAAAAGCCUUCUAUUCGUAACAUAAAGUAUUAACAUAUAAGACUUAUUCUAAUGAUAUAUAAUAUAAUUAUAUUGUGUGUGUAAACAUAAGCUCCUCAUCCGCUUGCCUCAAUUCCAAGGCCUUCUCAACUCUUCUCUAUUGGCUAUCAUGUCGUGCGCUAUAAAUUUCCGUCGUGUUUGUAAAUAUGUGGUAAUCCUUUAGUACAGUUUCCGUAAGGUGAACACCAUUCUGCCAGAUUACUGUACCAUUUCUUCUUACUACCCUUAUACAACUUGCGUGCACUUCCAUUCCAGGUUUUGGGAAAAAUCCAAAGUGUUCUCUCUGUAUGUAGAGUACAUAUGUAUAAAAUUUCUGAAUCUGUUUCAUGCUCAUUUGUUAAUCUAAUAGAUCUAAUAGAUAAGCCGCCUGUCGCCCGCCGACUUUGUCGAGUCUAAGGCAAGCCGGUUUCCUCACGAUGUUUUCCUUCAUCGUACGAGCGAGAGUGAAAUGCGCGAAUAGAAAGAAAUUCCAUUGGUGCUCAGCCAGGGAUCGAACCAACGACCUCGAAUCCAAUAGGCCAACACACGUCUAUCUCUCAUUUUUACCAAUAGGUCGUUAAAAUCGAACCUGCGUAUAGGUUCACUUUACUUCUGACCUCUUUGUUUUCUUUUCAAUAAACUUUUUGAAAUUAAGUGUAUUUCCUAAACUCGUUUUCAUUUACUAUUCUUACUAAGUACCAAGUUUAGAUUAAUUGUUUAUUUUGAACGUAGGUAUUUGGGUAGAUUGAUAGCGACUUAGUAGUUAACACAAAGACCAUUAUGUUCUAGUUUUAAUUCUUGGCUAAGUAAUAUGUUAAGUAAGUGAUAUUGAAAUAGUGUUAAGCUAGAAUGAAUCUAAGAUUUUUUCUGUAAUAUGUAUGAUGAAUAUUGUAAUAAUUUACUCUUGUAAUGUUAAAAUCAACAUUGCGUAUACUAAUAUUUUCACUUUUCAUGACCACUUUGUUUCGUUUACAAUGAAAUGUCCUAGUUUUAGUUUUAGGCGAAAUAAUAAUUUUUACACGAAAUCUGAUCUAGUAGCUGAUGAAAAAUGAUCAAGGAAACAGAUGAUGGGCUUUUGCGUCAUUACUUUCGUGCGUACAACCCAAAAUAAUUAUCAUUUCGCCAUGAAUCGGAAACUUUCUGGUUUUUAAUGUAGACAAACUAUUUUAUUUGUUGUGUAAAUUAAGAUUAUUUGUAAACACUUUAAAAUGGUCACCAAAUAAAUAUGUCAAAGGCUUAUGGCAA